rnacentral:rRNA from 1 species
AUGGCUACUGGUGAAGUCAUGGCUGAAAAGGUUCUUCCGACACCGCUGCUACUUGGUGCCCGCCGCACCCAAGGCAUCGGUUGCCGUCCCUGUUCUCCCGGUGGCCCUCUCGUCAUGCGAUCACUUGGUCGAGAGUUUGUCACAGCCGCUGAGGAACAGAGUGACUCCCAGGAAAAUUACUCAAAUUUAUCCAAUGGGUAA